UUUUUUGAGAGUUUGAUCCUAGCUCAGGACGAACGCUGGCGGCGUGGAUAAGGCAUGCAAGUCGUACGAUUAUAUUUUGUUAGCAAUAAUAAGAUAUGAUAGUGGCGAACGAGGUAGUAAUACGCAGGAACGUAUCUCCGAGACGAGUAUAACCCCGCGAAAGCGGGGCUAAUAGUCGAUAGUCCCUGAGAGUAAUCGAAGGGUAAAGGAGCAAUCCGCUCGGAAAUCGGCCUGCGGGCUAUCAGCUUGUUGGCAGGGUAACGGCCUACCAAGGCUAUGACGGCUAGGGGGCGUGAGAGCGUGUUCCCCACCGAUGGCACUGCGACACGGGCCAUACACCUCCGGGUGGCUGCAGUCGAGAAUUUUCCACACUG
rnacentral:rRNA from 1 species